GCCCCCAUGGCCCAAUUGGCAGAGGCACCCGGCUUAAAACCGGUUCAGUGCGAGUUCAAGUCUCGCUGGGGGCA
rnacentral:tRNA from 1 species